CAGGCGCGAAAACUUUACAAUGCGGGAAACCGUGAUAAGGGAAUCUCGAGUGCCAGCAUAUAAUGUUGGCUGUCCAGAUGCCUAAAAAGCAUCUGUUAGCAAGGGCCGGGCAAGACCGGUGCCAGCCGCCGCGGUAACACCGGCGGCCCGAGUGGUAACCGCUAUUAUUGGGUCUAAAGGGUCUGUAGCCGGCCAGGUAAGUCCCUUGGGAAAUCUGGCAGCUUAACUGUCAGGCUGCUAGGGGAUACUGUCUGGCUUGGGACCGGGAGAGGUGAGAGGUACCUUGGGGGUAGGGGUGAAAUCUUGUGAUCCUCGGGGGACCACCAGUGGCGAAGGCGUCUCACCAGAACGGGUCCGACGGUAAGGGACGAAAGCUAGGGGCACGAACCGGAUUAGAUACCCGGGUAGUCCUAGCCGUAAACGAUGCUCGCUAGAUGUCAGUCACGGUGCGACCGUGAUUGGUGCCGUAGGGAAGCCGUGAAGCGAGCCACCUGGGAAGUAUGGCCGCAAGGCUGAAACUUAAAGGAAUUGGCGGGGGAGCACUACAACGGGUGGAGCCUGCGGUUUAAUUGGAUUCAACGCCGGAAAUCUCACCGGGGGCGACAGCGAUAUGAAGGUCAGGCUGAAGACCUUACCCGAUUAGCUGAGAGGUGGUGCAUGGCCGUCGUCAGUUCGUACUGUGAAG
rnacentral:rRNA from 1 species